GUGAACGCUGGCGGUAGGCCUAACACAUGCCAGUCGAACGGCAGCACAGUAAGAGCUUGCUCUUACGGGUGGCGAGUGGCGGACGGGUGAGGAAUACAUCGGAAUCUACUUUUUCGUGGGGGAUAACGUAGGGAAACUUACGCUAAUACCGCAUACGACCUACGGGUGAAAGCAGGGGAUCUUCGGACCUUGCGCGAUUGAAUGAGCCGAUGUCGGAUUAGCUAGUUGGCGGGGUAAAGGCCCACCAAGGCGACGACCCGUAGCUGGUCUGAGAGGAUGAUCAGCCACACUGGAACUGAGACACGGUCCAGACUCCUACGGGAGGCAGCAGUGGGGAAUAUUGGACAAUGGGCGCAAGCCUGAUCCAGCCAUACCGCGUGGGUGAAGAAGGCCUUCGGGUUGUAAAGCCCUUUUGUUGGGAAAGAAAAGCAGCAGGUUAAUACCCCGCUGUUCUGACGGUACCCAAAGAAUAAGCACCGGCUAACUUCGUG
rnacentral:rRNA from 1 species